CUAGCAGAGCAGCUUAUGUCACGACAAUUUCAGCAGCAACGGCAGCAACAAAUAUUAUCUCAUUCACACUUGAAUGAAUCACUUCAAGAAAAUAUGCCAGGGCAGAAUCUUAUUCAUCAUCAGCGGUUGAUCAACCAUCCUGUGCCAGAUCUGGAACAUCUUUUGGCACUUCAGCUACAGCAACAGCGGCAGCGGCAGCGGCAGCUUCAGCUCCAACAGCAACAGCAACAGCAACAGCAGCAGUUUCAUCAACAGCAAAAGCUUUUGCAGGAACGACAACAAUCACAAGCUCGGCAGGUGCUUCUUGAACAGUUGCUGCAUGGUCAGAUGCCUGAUCCUGGCCUUGUACAAUCACGUGUUGAUCAUAUUAGAGCUAAUGAUGUUCUUGAUCAAGUUUUGUUGGAGCAGCAACUUCUACAUGAGCUGCAACAACGGUCUCAUCAUCAUCAAAGGCACUUUGUUCCAUCUGUAGAACAGCUUACUCAGCAAGAUCAACAGAGAGAUUUAUUUGAGCUAUUAUCUCGUGCACAGCAUGGCCAAAUGCAUUCUUUAGAGCAUCAAAUUAUUCAAGAACAGCUGCAGGCAAGACAAUUGCCUAUGGGAUUGAGACAGCAGAUGAAUAUGGAAGAAGAGAGGUAUAUUGAUUCUAUCUGGCCGCAGGUUAAUGAAAAUGAUCAGUUCUUCAGCAGUCUCUCUGGUAAUCAGAGAUCACACUCUUCGGGAAUUAGCCCAUUAGAUUUUUAUCAGCGGCAGCAGAGGCCACCACAUGAGGACCAGUUGAGCCACCUUGAGCAAAAUCUUUCAUUUCAAGACCGACUGCGGCAAGGGCUUUAUGAAUCUGGCUCAAUGCCAUUUGAGAGGUCUCUGUCUUUCCCUGAUGGUACUUCAGGGAUGAAUAUGGAUGUAAAUGCAAUGGUUCAUGGUCAUGGUUUAAAUAUGCAGGAGUUGAAUACGCGAAUGCAAUCUGCUGGUCAAGUGGGAAUGUUGUCUUCUGGUGGCCACCUGCAUAAUCCUCAUCACCCUAUGGUUCCUAUUCCUAACCAAUUCCAUGUUUCACGUCUAGAUGCGAUUGAUGGCCGCUGGCCUGAAAGCAAUGGGCCACUAGCAAAUGACUGGAUGGAAUCCCGAAUUCAACAAUUGCACAUCAAUUCUGAGCAGCGGAAAAGGGAAUCUGACAUUAAAAUGACAGCUGAAGAUUCAAGUUUGUGGAUGACAGAUGAAUUGAAUGAUGACAAAUCAAGGCGAUUGUUCAUGGAAUGGAAUUGCUCUGUCAGAAAUCAGGUCAUCAACCUUCUGAUUCACUUUUGAGUGAUGGAAUGUCUUUCGAGAAGAGGUCACCUUCAGGCAUUUACUCUGGAUCAAGCUCUUCAGAUCACCCUUUUGCUGUUGUUUCAGACCGAGAAGCCAGUCUAAACAACUCAUUUGCAAUAGGGUCUUAUGGUUCUAAUGCUGGUGAACCAGCAGAGGUUUCUUCAGCUGGUGAACAGGUCAGCAGUAUGGGAAGUACAGAAAAAUUACUGUUUAGAUCUGAAUCGGGAGCAACAUGUGAGGGACUUUUGUCAUUGUUAGGUGUUAGUGAGACUUCUCAGGCUGUUCUUGCGGAUUCUAGCUUCAUUGAUAAGUCUUCUAUCAACAAAGAGUACCUAGAGGUGGAAGGGAGGAAGUAUGGGUCCAAAGCACUUGGUAUGGCAAAGAGUUCAGUUACUGAGAUUAACGAUGGCAUAGCUGAUCAAGCACGAUUGGUUACUAUGGAUCGUGGAGAGGUUCCUAUUAAUGCUCUCAGCAGGCAUUCUUCUCUUGUUGUUUCUGGAUUUUAUGAUGACAAGGUUGGGCAACAAAAUUCGUUUGCUGAAGAUAUUAACUUAAAUCGGGUGCCUGUACUGUCCAAAGGGCAAGAGAAUAUGUUGCUGAGACGACCACCUGUCUCUAUUGCUUCAUCAUCUCAAGAAAGGUUAUCUGA
rnacentral:misc_RNA from 1 species